UAUACACAUGCUGCAUCUUUAAAUGAACAGAUGUGUAAUCGGGUAGAUCAUUUGUUUAUAAUCCGUGUAUCAUUCGUUCAUUUGUUUUUCCGAUUUCAAAACCAAAACCAGAAAUCGGAUAACGGUUCGUUUUCUCGUUUUUCCGAUUUCAAUACCAAAACCAGAAAUCGGAUAACGGUUCGUUUUCUCGUUUUUCCGAUUUCAAAACCAAAACCAGAAAUCGGAUUACGGUUCGUUUUCUCGUUUUUCGUUUUCUCGUUUUUUCGAUUAUGCACCCCCAAACGGAAAAUGGAAAAUGAAACAUUCGGAUAACAAAUCCUGGGAAUGUUAGUUGUCAGGGAAACCGAUCGCGAGCCAACAACUGACUCAUGCCACAACUGAUCUGUAAGGAAACAUGGCUAAUUUGGAGUCUCACUACGAGAUGAUAAAUCAACUCUUUCUGUCGGGGAAAACUCACGCCGAAAUGUCUGAGACAUUGAAGAGUAUGGGAAUUAAGGGGUCCUCGGAGAUGUCGGUGAGGAGAUUCUGUGGCGACGUUGGGCUGAGACGGAAGGGGCACAUCACAGACCAAGAGCUGGAAGAAGCUGUCCUGACAUCUAUUCAAAAGCAAUGUGAUGUUCCUGAUUUGGGAUCUGCUUCUCUUGCGUCUGUUUCCGAAGAGUCUUACUUUGUUAUCCCACCGGACAGUGUCCUUCAAGUUCCAUUGGAUAGGCCACAGUUCUCCAAGACUUCAUCUUUAUUCCUCAACAUUUUUCUCUGCAGUCUAUGACAUCACUCCUGCUUAAGCUUCUCUACGCUGACUACCAUAAGAAUUAAGAUUUAUGAUAGAGGACCCUCUCAUCCCCUUCAUCAACUCCCACCAGACAGGAGAUUCAAUCUACUACCACCAACUACAAGAACUCCUCAGCAGAAAGCUUUCUUAACGGACAAUAAAGUUUAUUUAUCUA